rnacentral:antisense_RNA from 1 species
UGGCCUGUGGGAACCUGCACAAGUCGGGGGCAACAUGGUCCCAGGAAGUCUUUGACAGGCUGCCCCCUGCUGGCUGCUGCGGGAACCACAUGGCAGAUGGCUCCUGGUGUCCCCUGGAAGGUCUUGCUCUGUCACCCAGGCUGGAGUGUGUGGUGUGAUCAUGCCUCACAGCAGCCUUGACAUCCCCAGGCUCAGAUGAUCCUCCCACCUCAGCCCCCUGAGUAGCCGCGACUACAGGCGCAUGCCACCACACCCAGUAGAGACGGGGUUUCACCAUCCACAGGAUGGUCUCGAUCUCCUGACCUUGUGAUCCGCCCGCCUCAGCCUCCCAAAGUGCUGGGAUUACAGGCUGAGCCACCGCGCCCGGUCGCACCCCAACUUUAAAGAUGAGGGUCGGUGCAGGACAGAAUACAUUUCAGCUCCAAAACCAGCAUUGUCUUUAAUGGGGACUCCUAGAGGCAUUCCCACCAAGUUAGGAACAAGACAGCACACCCACUGUUACCAGCGUAAAUCAACAAUGUACCGGAGGUGCUAACCCACACAAUAAGGCAACAUCUCCAGCAUGAAGCCCACUGGCCUCAUGUCUGUACUUCUGGAGUCCAGGUGAGCAAAGGUGACCUGCCCACUGGACUUGG